rnacentral:rRNA from 1 species
CCUACGGGUGGCAGCAGUGAGGAAUAUUGGUCAAUGGGCGGGAGCCUGAACCAGCCAAGUCGCGUGAGGGAAGACGGUCCUAUGGAUUGUAAACCUCUUUAGGCGGGGAGCAAUGCCGGGCACGCGUGCCCGGCGGGAGAGUACCCGCAGAAUAAGCAUCGGCUAACUCCGUGCCAGCAGCCGCGGUAAUACGGAGGAUGCGAGCGUUAUCCGGGUUGAUUGGGGUUAAAGGGUGCGUAGGCGGAUUUUUAAGUCAGCGGUAAAAUGUCCGGGCUCAACCCGGGCCGGCCGUUGAAACUGGGGAUCUUGAGUGGGCGAGAAGUAUGCGGAAUGCGUGGUGUAGCGGUGAAAUGCAUAGAUAUCACGCAGAACUCCGAUUGCGAAGGCAGCAUACCGGCGCCCGACUGACGCUGAGGCACGAAAGCGUGGGGAUCGAACAGGAUUAGAUACCCCUGUAGU